rnacentral:rRNA from 1 species
AACGAACGUUAGCGGCGCGCCUAACACAUGCAAGUCGCACGAGAAAGGGCUUCGGCCCCGGUAAAGUGGCGCACGGGUGAGUAACACGUGGGUAACCUGCCCUCGAGCGGGGGAUAACAUUCCGAAAGGAGUGCUAAUACCGCAUAAGACCACGAUCUCGAAAGAGGACGAGGUAAAAGCUGGCCUCUGUAUACAAGCUAGCACUUGAGGAUGGGCCCGCGGCGCAUCAGGUAGUUGGUGAGGUAACGGCUCACCAAGCCGAAGACGCGUAGCUGGCCUGAGAGGAUGAUCAGCCACACUGGAACUGAGACACGGUCCAGACUCCUACGGGAGGCAGCAGUGGGGAAUCUUGCGCAAUGGGCGAAAGCCUGACGCAGCGACGCCGCGUGAGUGAUGAAGGCCUUCGGGUUGUAAAGCUCUGUGGGGCGAGACGAAUAAGUGCAGCCUAAUACGCUGCAUGAUGACGGUAUCGCCUUAGCAAGCACCGGCUAACUCUGUGCCAGCCGCCGCCGUAAAAC